AUUAUGUUAUGGUUGGUGAAGUAUUUAACUUAUAUAAUGACACCAAUGGGCAGACAUGAAUAGCAUGAAAGGUUGACGUGAGGAAUUUAAUCAUCCGGAUUGAGAUAGUUUUGGUGAGGACAUCCUCUUGAAUCUUGCUCAUCAGUACUACAAAUCUGGGAACUAUAAGCGGGCACUAGAACACAGCAAGAAUGUUUAUGAGAGAGAUCCAUGUCUCACUGAUAACCUUCUUUUGUUGGGUGCAAUUUAUUAUCAGUUACAUGAUUUUGAUAUGUGCAUCGCAAAGAACAAAGAAGCUCUCCUAAUUAAUCCAAAUUUCGCCGAGUGCUAUGGAAAUAUGGCCAAUGCUUGGAAGGAGAAAGGCAAUAGUGAUGUUGCAAUUCGCUAUUACUUGAUUGCUAUUG